CCUACGGGAGGCAGCAGUGGGGGAUAUUGCACAAUGGGGGGAACCCUGAUGCAGCGACGCCGCGUGGGUGAAGAAGCGCCUCGGCGCGUAAAGCCCUUUCAGCAGGGGAGAAAAUGACGGUACCUGAAGAAGAAGCACCGGCUAACGCCGUGCCAGCAGCCGCGGGAACACGUAGGGGGCAAGCGUGAUCCGGAUUUACUGGGUGUAAAGGGGGCGCAGUCGGGUAUGCAAGCCAGGAGUGAAAGCCCGGGGGCCAACCCCGGGACGGCUGUUGGAACUGCGUGGCUGGAGUGCAGGAGGGGCAGGCGGAAUUCCUGGUGUAGCGGUGAAAUGCGUAGAUAUCAGGAGGAACACCGGUGGCGAAGGCGGCCUGCUGGACUGCAACUGACGUUGAGGCACGAAAGCGUGGGGAGCAAACAGGAUUAGAUACCCCUGUAGUC
rnacentral:rRNA from 1 species